rnacentral:rRNA from 1 species
CAGUCGCCACGGUAAUACGUAGGGUGCGAGCGUUAAUCGGAAUUACUGGGCGUAAAGCGUGCGCAGGCGGUUGUGUAAGACAGGUGUGAAAUCCCCGGGCUCAACCUGGGAAUGGCAAUGGAUACUGGCAAGCUAGAGUGUGUCAGAGGAUGGUGGAAUUCCCGGUGUAGCGGUGAAAUGCGUAGAGAUGUGGAGGAACACCGAUGGCGAAGGCAGCCCCCUGGGCCAAUACUGACGCUCAUGCACGAAAGCGUGGGGAGCAAACAGGAUUAGAUACCCCCGUAGUCCCUGUCUCUUAUAC